GACGAACGCUGGCGGCGUGCUUAACACAUGCAAGUCGAACGGAGGUUUCGGAGUAGUAAUACAAAGAAACUUUAGUGGCGGACGGGUGAGUAACACGUGGGUAACCUGCCCUAUGGAGGGGGAUAACACAAAGAAAUUUGUGCUAAUACCGCAUGAAGUGCAAAAGUCGCAUGACAUUUGCAUCAAAGAUUUAUUGCCAUAGGAUGGACCCGCGGCCCAUUAGCUAGUUGGUGAGGUAACGGCUCACCAAGGCGACGAUGGGUAGCCGAUCUGAGAGGAUGAACGGCCACAUUGGAACUGAGACACGGUCCAGACUCCUACGGGAGGCAGCAGUGGGGAAUAUUGCACAAUGGGGGAAACCCUGAUGCAGCAACGCCGCGUGAGCGACGAAGGCCUUCGGGUUGUAAAGCUCUGUCUUAGCUGACGAUAAUGACGGUAAGCUAGGAGGAAGCCACGGCUAACUACGUG
rnacentral:rRNA from 1 species